GAUUUCAACUGAAAAAAUCAUCAAUAACAAAGUGGUAUAACUCAUCAAGAUUUAUAACUUUUAUUUUGGUCAUUUCUUCAUCCGACAAAGUUAUUUGAAAGAUUGUUUACAAAUGAACAUAUAUCUCUUAUAUAGUUUAUAAACUAUAAGAGAUAUAUGUAAAUUUUAUGAAAAUGUUAUUAUGACUUAGUUAGAUGAAGAAAUGACCAAAAUAAAAGUUAUAGAACUUGAUGAGUUAUACAAUUUUGUUGUUGAUGAUUUUUUCAGCUGAAAUC
rnacentral:pre_miRNA from 1 species